AUUUUUAUGAGUUUAUAGAUCCAUUGAUAUUUUCUGUUUUAAUUUUAUUUCAUUAAAUUCAUUUGUGAGUAUGUGCCACUUUUUCUGUGUUUCUAGAAAGUUUUUGUGCUCACACCACCGAAAAUCACACACUCAUAUUGUCCACUUCGCUGCUUUAAUUUCUUUUCGUGUGUGGCAAAUUGUGCAUAUGUAAUGUGUGCAUAGUGGUGUGUCGAGAUUUCGCGAAUGUAAUGGAGCUGACUGGCGUAGCAAAAAAUGGGUGAAGAAUGAAAACCAAAACAAUGCCCAAAUGAAUGGAGAAUGAAUGCAUAACAUUGGUUACCACGAAAUGAAAUAUUUAAACGAUCACACAAAGGAAUUGUUGAUCACUACGUCCAUCAGAUAUUCUUUAUACGUGCUUAUAUUUGUGUCUAUAUUAUAUAUGUAUAAAUAAAAUAAUGAAUUUGUUUGUUUAUUCUU